rnacentral:misc_RNA from 1 species
AAGUCGUAACAAGGUUUCCGUAGGUGAACCUGCGGAAGGAUCAUUACCGAAAAACAUAAAGAACCUUGGCCGAAAAGAAUAAACACGUUUGUUUGCGCAAUCGUGUGUAUUCUUUUCAGCCAUUGUCCUUUUCAACCCCUUGUGUGAACCAUCAUCGAUGUCUAUGUGUUGUGACGUUGGCGUAUACGUGCACAUUCAUCAUCAUCCAUCGCAAGAUGGUGUUGACGUAUGUGUGCGUGUGCUGCUACACCGUCACACGCAUGAUUCACUCCGAUUAUAUCAACAUACAAAUCGAGUAGUAGGAUGCACAACGUUCAGUACUAUUAUGUGUUGUCGUCGUCAUCAUACUGCUUGAAUGAAACCACAGGACUUAUAUAGCUUCUGUUUAUAAACCAAAACAACUUUUAACAACGGAUCUCUAGGCUCUC